UACGUAGGGUGCAAGCGUUAUCCGGAAUUAUUGGGCGUAAAGAGCUCGUAGGCGGUUUGUCGCGUCUGCUGUGAAAAUCCGGGGCUCAACCCCGGACUUGCAGUGGGUACGGGCAGACUAAAGUGUGGUAGGGGAGACUGGAAUUCCUGGUGUAGCGGUGAAAUGCGCAGAUAUCAGGAGGAACACCGAUGGCGAAGGCGGGUCUCUGGGCCGAUACUGACGCUGAGGAGCGAAAGCGUGGGGAGCGAACAGG
rnacentral:rRNA from 1 species